rnacentral:rRNA from 1 species
AUUGAACGCUGGCGGCAGGCCUAACACAUGCAAGUCGAGCGGAUGACGGGAGCUUGCUCCUUGAUUCAGCGGCGGACGGGUGAGUAAUUCCUAGGAAUCUGCCUGUUAGUGUGGUACAACGUUUCGAAAGGAACGCUAAUACCGCAUACGUCCUACGGGAGAAAGCAGGGGACCUUCGGGCCUUGCGCUAUCAGAUGAUCCUAUGUCGGAUUAGCUUGUUGGUGAGGUAAUGGCUCACCAAGGCGACGAUCCGUAACUGGUCUGAGAGGAUGAUCAGUCACACUGGAACUGAGACACGGUCCAGACUCCUACGGGAGGCAGCAGUGGGGAAUAUUGGACAAUGGGCGAAAGCCUGAUCCAGCCAUGCCGCGUGUGUGAAGAAGGUCUUCGGAUUGUAAAGCACUUUAAGUUGGGAGGAAGGGUUGUAGAUUAAUACUCUGCAAUUUUGACGUUACCGAAAGAAUAAGCACCGGCUAACUCUGUG